rnacentral:rRNA from 1 species
AACGAACGCUGGCGGCAUGCCUAACACAUGCAAGUCGAACGAGACCUUCGGGUCUAGUGGCGCACGGGUGCGUAACGCGUGGGAACCUGCCCUUAGGUUCGGAAUAACUCCCCGAAAGGGGUGCUAAUACCGGAUAAUGUCUUCGGACCAAAGAUUUAUCGCCUUUGGAUGGGCCCGCGUUGGUUUAGCUAGUUGGUAGGGUAAAAGCCUACCAAGGCGACGAUCCAUAGCUGGUCUGAGAGGAAGAGCAGCCACACUGGGACUGGGACACGGCCCAGACUCUUACGGGAGGCAGGAGUGGGGAAUAUUGGACAACGGGCGAAGGCCUGAACCAGCAAUGCCGGGUGAGUGAUGAAGGCGUUAGGGUAGUAAAGCUCUUUUACCCGGGAUGAUAAUGACAGUACCGGGAGAAUAAGCACCGGCUAACUCCGUG